rnacentral:rRNA from 1 species
GAUGAACGCUGGCGGCGUGCCUAAUACAUGCAAGUCGAGCGAACGGACGAGAAGCUUGCUUUUCUGAUGUUAGCGGCGGACGGGUGAGUAACACGUGGAUAACCUACCUAUAAGACUGGGAUAACUUCGGGAAACCGGAGCUAAUACCGGAUAAUAUUUUGAACCGCAUGGUUCAAAAGUGAAAGACGGUCUUGCUGUCACUUAUAGAUGGAUCCGCGCUGCAUUAGCUAGUUGGUAAGGUAACGGCUUACCAAGGCAACGAUGCAUAGCCGACCUGAGAGGGUGAUCGGCCACACUGGAACUGAGACACGGUCCAGACUCCUACGGGAGGCAGCAGUAGGGAAUCUUCCGCAAUGGGCGAAAGCCUGACGGAGCAACGCCGCGUGAGUGAUGAAGGUCUUCGGAUCGUAAAACUCUGUUAUUAGGGAAGAACAUAUGUGUAAGUAACUGUGCACAUCUUGACGGUACCUAAUCAGAAAGCCACGGCUAACUACGUGCCAGCAGCCGCGGUAAUACGUAGGUGGCAAGCGUUAUCCGGAAUUAUUGGGCGUAAAGCGCGCGUAGGCGGUUUUUUAAGUCUGAUGUGAAAGCCCACGGCUCAACCGUGGAGGGUCAUUGGAAACUGGAAAACUUGAGUGCAGAAGAGGAAAGUGGAAUUCCAUGUGUAGCGGUGAAAUGCGCAGAGAUAUGGAGGAACACCAGUGGCGAAGGCGACUUUCUGGUCUGUAACUGACGCUGAUGUGCGAAAGCGUGGGGAUCAAACAGGAUUAGAUACCCUGGUAGUCCACGCCGUAAACGAUGAGUGCUAAGUGUUAGGGGGUUUCCGCCCCUUAGUGCUGCAGCUAACGCAUUAAGCACUCCGCCUGGGGAGUACGACCGCAAGGUUGAAACUCAAAGGAAUUGACGGGGACCCGCACAAGCGGUGGAGCAUGUGGUUUAAUUCGAGGCAACGCGAAGAACCUUACCAAAUCUUGACAUCCUUUGACAACUCUAGAGAUAGAGCCUUCCCCUUCGGGGGACAAAGUGACAGGUGGUGCAUGGUUGUCGUCAGCUCGUGUCGUGAGAUGUUGGGUUAAGUCCCGCAACGAGCGCAACCCUUAAGCUUAGUUGCCAUCAUUAAGUUGGGCACUCUAAGUUGACUGCCGGUGACAAACCGGAGGAAGGUGGGGAUGACGUCAAAUCAUCAUGCCCCUUAUGAUUUGGGCUACACACGUGCUACAAUGGACAAUACAAAGGGCAGCGAAACCGCGAGGUCAAGCAAAUCCCAUAAAGUUGUUCUCAGUUCGGAUUGUAGUCUGCAACUCGACUACAUGAAGCUGGAAUCGCUAGUAAUCGUAGAUCAGCAUGCUACGGUGAAUACGUUCCCGGGUCU